rnacentral:rRNA from 1 species
CCUACGUGAGACAGCAGUGGGGAAUAUUGCGCAAUGGGCGAAAGCCUGACGCAGCGACGCCGCGUGAGGGAUGAAGGUCUUCGGAUCGUAAACCUCUGUCAGCAGGGAAGAACGGUCACUGUGCUAAUCAGCAGUGAAUUGACGGUACCUGCAAAGGAAGCACCGGCUAACUCCGUGCCAGCAGCCGCGGUAAUACGGAGGGUGCGAGCGUUAAUCGGAAUUACUGGGCGUAAAGCGCUCGUAGGCGGUAUGUCAAGUCAAGGGUGAAAUCCCCGCGCUCAACGUGGGAACUGCCUUUGAAACUGGCAAACUGGAGUGUGUGAGAGGAUAGUGGAAUUCCAGGUGUAGGAGUGAAAUCCGUAGAUAUCUGGAGGAACAUCAGUGGCGAAGGCGACUAUCUGGCACAUAACUGACGCUGAGGAGCGAAAGCGUGGGUAGCAAACAGGAUUAGAUACCCCAGUAGUC